AAUAUUGGUCAAUGGCCGGAAGGCUGAACCAGCCAAGCCGCGUGAAGGACGAAGGUGCCAAGCAUUGUAAACUUCUUUUGUCAAGGGACAAAAUCAGGCUCGAGAGCCUGACCGAGGGUACUUGAAGAAAAAGCAUCGGCUAACUCCGUGCC
rnacentral:rRNA from 1 species